CUUGAAACCGUGUGCUUACAAGUAGUCAGAGCCCGUUAAUGGGUGAUGGCGUGCCUUUUGUAGAAUGAACCGGCGAGUUACGAUCUGAUGCAAGGUUAAGCAGAAAAUGUGGAGCCGUAGCGAAAGCGAGUCUGAAUAGGGCGAAUGAGUAUUUGGUCGUAGACCCGAAACCAGGUGAUCUACCCUUGGUCAGGUUGAAGUUCAGGUAACACUGAAUGGAGGACCGAACCGACUUACGUUGAAAAGUGAGCGGAUGAACUGAGGGUAGCGGAGAAAUUCCAAUCGAACUUGGAGAUAGCUGGUUCUCUCCGAAAUAGCUUUAGGGCUAGCCUCAAGUGAUGAUUAUUGGAGGUAGAGCACUGUUUGGACGAGGGGCCCCUCUCGGGUUACCGAAUUCAGACAAACUCCGAAUGCCAAAUAAUUUAACUUGGGAGUCAGAAUGUGGGUGAUAAGGUCCAUAUUCGAAAGGGAAACAGCCCAGACCACCAGCUAAGGUCCCAAAAUAUAUGUUAAGUGGAAAAGGAUGUGGCGUUGCCCAGACAACUAGGAUGUUGGCUUAGAAGCAGCCAUCAUUUAAAGAGUGCGUAAUAGCUCACUAGUCGAGUGACACUGCGCCGAAAAUGUACCGGGGCUAAACAUAUUACCGAAGCUGUGGAUUGUCCUUUGGACAAUGGUAGGAGAGCGUUCUAAGGGCGUUGAAGCAUGAUCGCAAGGACAUGUGGAGCGCUUAGAAGUGAGAAUGCCGGUGUGAGUAGCGAAAGACGGGUGAGAAUCCCGUCCACCGAUUGACUAAGGUUUCCAGAGGAAGGCUCGUCCGCUCUGGGUUAGUCGGGUCCUAA
rnacentral:rRNA from 1 species